CCUACGGGAGGCAGCAGUAGGGAAUAUUGCGCAAUGGGGGAAACCCUGACGCAGCAACGCCGCGUGGAGGAUGAAGGUUUUCGGAUUGUAAACUUCUGUCGGUAGGGAAGAUAAUGACGGUAUCUAACGAAUAAGCACCGGCUAACUCCGUGCCAGCAGCCGCGGUAAUACGGAGGGUGCAAGCGUUACGCGGAAUCACUGGGCGUAAAGAGCGCGUAGGCUGGAUAGCAAGUCAGAGGUGAAAUCCUAUGGCUUAACCAUAGAACUGCAUUUGAAACUGUGAUUCUAGAGUAUGGGAGAGGGAGGUGGAAUUCUUGGUGUAGGGGUAAAAUCCGUAGAGAUCAGGAGGAACACUAGUGGCGAAGGCGACCUGCUGGAACAUAACUGACGCUGAGGCGCGAAAGCGUGGGGAGCAAACAGGAUUAGAUACCCCUGUAGUC
rnacentral:rRNA from 1 species